GAAGAUUAUCAGGAACUCAUAGAGGAUAUUGUCCGAGACGGGAGAUUAUACGCAUCGGAGAAUCACCAGGAGAUAUUAAAGGAUAAGAAGCUGAUUAAGGCGCUGUUUGAAGUCCUCGCGCACCCCCAGAACUACUUCAAAUACACGGCUCAGGAAUCCAGGGAAAUGUUCCCGAAAUCCUUCAUCAGACUACUGCGUGCCAAAGUCUCAAGAUUCCUGCGGCCUUAAAAAUAAUGUGUGACCUGGGAGACACUGAACCAGGGUCUGAUCCCCGCUGCACCAUUAUAAUGCUCCGGCCCGCGCUUCUUUAAACCUCCUGAGAGGAAAGGGACUGUUUGUAAUCGGAUGACGCGUCUUCUCCCCGGGGUCAGUGUUGGGAUUCCUGACCAGAUUCGCUUCAUUCGCCGAUAUUGGUGACGCUUCAGCUGCUGUACUUUAGGUUGAAUCUGCUAAAAUUUACCUUAAACUAUGACAACGUCUCAAUGCAUCUUUCAAGUCAUCAGCAACAUCUGAGACGGCUGCGCUUGAUGGACUUUCCUUGUAGUAAUUAUGCGUUUUAUGACCAAAGGAGUCAAAUCUGUCACCGCUGGGCUUGUAGUGUCAGGUGGAGGCUGUAAAGCAUAUGGUCUGCAUCAUCAGUAGCAUGCAAGAAACGAGAAACAAGUCGCAUUCAAUCCAGUGCCUGGGGUUCUCUAUGGGAUAAAGGAGACUGUGUCAUGAAUUCCACGGAUUUGCUGGCAGCUUACUGACACUGAGCUGAAGCUUCAUAUUUUUUCUUUUUACCCUCAUUGGUGGACCAUGUUAUAGAAGUCCAUUUAUCACCUUGGACCAGACAAUUUCUAGUCCUAAAUGUCACAAAAAUAUUUGAAUGUGCACAAAAAUGGCAAAUGGCCAGUGAGCUCUUCUCCAGGAGGUCAAUGACUUACAGUGCAGGACACUGAGAUGGACUGGACUGGUGGGGGGGACUGAGGUUUAUCACACUCUGCAGAGCAUUGCGCACUGUGCAGAGGAAGUCCUUCCAUGUAUUUGGCUGUAAAUGUUGUACAGAAUUUUUACUCACUAUAAAUAUACAUCGUACACUCUUUA